AAAUUGUGAGUCUAGUACAACAUUAUAGAGUACUGUAUUGAACAAAUAAAACGGAACAGGAUAAAACCAAGAGAGAAACAUCUGAAAUUAAGCCAUAUUAAAUUAGGCUACAUAAUGAUGUUAUGUCAUACUGUUAAUAGGUUGAUUCUUCAGAGUCCCAAGAGCCAAGGUCACCCCUAAAGGGGCUUUCCUUACACUUAUCAACAAACAUGGAAGUCUGUGUAUGGAGAGCUGACCUCACCACCUUUCAGGCAGAUGCUAUUGUCAACGCUGCCAAUGUGCAACUUCAGCAUCAUGGCGGCCUUGCACGGGCCCUGACUACAGCUGGAGGGCCUGAAAUUCAGGCUGAGUGUGAUGAAUAUAUUGCAGUUUGGUAAGCUGAAGACCGGUGACACAGUUGUUACCAAUGCUGGCAAUCUGCCAUGCAGAAAAAUAAUUCAUGCAGUUGGCCCAUGCCUUCCAAAAAAUCCAUCAACUGCUAUGGUUUCCACUGCUGAGAAAGAAUUGAGAAAAGCAGUUUGGAGCAUCUGUGAGGUUGUUGAACACCAGAAGUUUGAUUCUGUAGCCAUUCCAGCCCUGAGUUCAGGGAUUUGCAACUUCCCCCUGAAACCUUGCUCAGAAGUGAUUGUAAAAACUAUAAAAGAAUUCCGUGACCAACGGCAGUCAACAAGUACACCCCUCACCAUUCACCUGGUCAACAAUGACAGAAAAACUGCAAAGGCGAUGGAAAGAGCCUGUUCUCAAAUACUCUCCCAACAUAGUAAAUCGACAUCAAGUGUUCCCCUUGAGAGGAGUCUUUCCAAAGGAAGUCUGCAAACUCCAGAACAAAAGCUCACAUCAUUGUGGAAAAAGAGAAACACAGAGAUUGUGGUUUCUGCACUUCCUUCCCAGACAAAAGGAAACAGUUUGAUCAUCCACCACAGUGAUCUAUGUACACUUCGACCUCACCAGUGGCUAGUAGGCGAGUGUUCGAUAUGGACAACAAUUGUGCUAUGUGUUACAUGGCAAAGCCCCCUGGAUCUGGGCCCCCACUGACAAACUGGGUGAGGUGUUUUUUGGUUUGUUUUUCUUCGAUAAUUCACAGUGUGGCAUUUCAUGUGUUACAUUGCCUUUAAACACUGACAUAGUUGCAUUUGGAGAAGUAACCAAUAAUUUAAUAAAGUAUAUGUUACGUCCUUGGGGUACGUUGUGUGUGUUUUGGGUUUUGCUCUGUUUGUCUCUUAGGACCGCAGCAGUGUCACGGCCUCCGUCAGAGAUCCACCAAAGGCCGGAUCGAGUGUUCCCCUGGCUCCGCCCUCUGUCCGCUCGAUUCGUCUGGCGUCCAAUCACCUACCACACCUGCCUCCAGCUCGGCUUUAAGAGCAGCUUCGUGCGGCUGUGGACGGCCCUCUUUUAUCUUUGUAUGGCCUUGUGUAUCUCUUUCUUAUAAAGUAUUUUGAGAACCGUGUGUGUCUGAGAAAUUGAGGCUCGAAUUGUUAUUGUUAACUGUUUAUUGGGUAUUAGGCUUAGGUUUUCUUUUUCACAUUUAUUCACACCACACUUCGAUUAUUACAUUUGUUAGUUUCACUAGUUUAUGGGUAGUUGCAUUUCUGUAUUUUUGUUUGUGUAGUGUAAACCAGCGUAGUCAACCAGAGUUCCUUUGUUUGUUGUGUUUUAAUUAGAAAGAUAGUUUUGGGGAAAAGCGAGUUAGGAAGAUUGUUUUAGUUUGUUUGUUUUAUGAGUUGGCGCCACCCUCCACCCUUUGUUCAUUGCCUCACCUUAUACCACUUGUAUCUAGCCUGAAGAAGGUUCUCCUUUCGUUACCUUUGUUUUAUUUUGCUGUUACUCAAUAAAAAUCUGUAUUUGC